UGCUCCAGGACAGGAGCAGCUCUGCAUGUCCUGUUUGCAUUUCAGGAUCCCAGCCUUCCUGCACUGCUGAAGCCAGGCAGGGAGGACAGCAGCACGUGGGAAAUGCAGUGGCACAGACCCUGAUGGAUGUCAUGAGCUCAGGGUUUGUUUAAGAUGCUCACUUGUCAGCAGCUCAUGCAAACACACCAGAGGAUGCUACAGGAGACCACAAAUGGCCUUCUCCUCCAUCCCCCACGAUGGGCCCUGCCAGCCAGAAGAGAACUUCAUCAAAAAACACACACGGUGUGAUUAUAAAACACCAACCAAGUGAUCAGCCGUGGCCACCACACACCAAAGUCACCCUGUGAACAGCAGAUGGACGGGAUGCUGCUGGCACCACCACGAGCCACGGGCAAAGGCCACCCAACACAAGGAGCACGGCCAAACCUGAGCCCAGAGGCAGCAGCGGCACAGGAGGGACAGCAGGGACUGGUGCCAGCCCACGCUCCUGGCCACAUGGCACCAUGCCCCAGCAGCCAGAAUUGAACCAGAACAGAGAUGGUCACUGGCAGAGGGACACAGGCUCUGUCCUGCUUUGGUGGGGGACAGAACUAAAGGGUUGUGCAGGCCUGGGUGGAGAUGUUCAAACAUGUCAGGGGAGGCACCCGUGGCUCCAGGCAGAUGAAAAUGUCCCUUUCAAAACCUGCCAUCACCCAGGUCUCCCCACCACUGCAGAAGAGCAGGGCUGGCUGGGGGACAGCAAGAAAAAAGGACAAGUCAGGAGGAAAUGUGUCUCACUUCUCUCCCCAAACACUGGGGAAGAGGAACAAGCUCUCAUCAGCAGAGCUCAUCUCAGAGACACUUCAAGUAUUUGACUAUUUUGUAUCAGAUUUACACCUGAAAUGUGCUUUAGCUGCACCUUCUCAGCUCUCUGCCAUCCAGCAGGACUUCCUACACAUGAACCAUGAGCUGUUCCUGCAAGCUGCUCCUGCACACUGCACGGGUUUGGGAGAGCAACAAGGUGGGAGUUCCUGAGCCCUCGGUCUCUGCCAGCCCUGCUGGGAGCUGGUUUUGUCAGCUCUGAAGAGGUGGAGACAGCUGCACCCCUCUGUCAGGAGGGACACGGCAUCACACAAACAUUUGGGAAACAAGGAGGGGCACAGGGCUCUUGGCAGCCUCACAGAGAUCAGCACACAAAUGCCACCACCACGACCAGCCUUUUAUUCCUUGAAGAAUAAAAGAAACAGAGCCCUUUGUGUCUGCCAGCGAAGGCACAAAUUCUGGCAUUUGACCCCAGGAAUUUGGCCUCCAUUUCCACUAGAGCUGACCCAUUGGCUGCCACAGGGACACCCACACUGCCACAGCACGUGAUGGCAGGAGGUCUGGGGGUGCUGCAGAACCAGCUGAGCACAGCCCCUGGUGAUGUGACACUUCCAGGUGACACUGUUGUAUUUUCUGAAAAAAUCCCUUCGCCAGGAUUCUUCUCCUGGGAAGCUGAGAAACUUUAGAGAAAAAGAAAAAUUAUAUUAUCUUAUUUGCUUCUCCUGUGUUUUGCUACUUUGGAAUGUGGUUGGAGAUUGUUUAUCCAACAGGUAAUUGUUUAAUUAAUUUUUGCUGUGAAUCAUUUUGACUUAUCGGCCAACUGGGGCCAAGCUGUGUUGGACUCUGAAGAAAGAAUCAUAAAAUUCAUUAAUAUCUUUCUAGCUUUCUGUAAGUAAUCUCUGAUCUUUUCUGUAUUCUUUAGUACAGUUUAGUAUAGCAUUCUUUAAUACAAUACAGAUCAUAAAAUAAUGAAUUAACCUUCUAAAAACAUGGAGUCAAAUUCAUCAUUCCUUCAUUUGUCUAAAAGCCCCACAAAUACAAGAUCCAGGCACUGCCUGCAGGGCAGAUCCAGAGGUGUAUUUUGAAGUGGGCUCCUGAGUUUAAAGCUGCCCUGGGAAGCACAUCCCACACUUGCACUGGCAGUGCCAGGGCACCACGGCACAGCUGGAGAUGCAGGCACACAUCCUGGUGUAAUUCACACUCCAAGGAAUCGUUCCUGAGGGACACUCCCAAGCCAGCAAGC